UACGGAGGAUCCAAGCGUUAUCCGGAUUUAUUGGGUUUAAAGGGUGCGUAGGUGGUUCUUUAAGUCAGGGGUGAAAGACGGCAGCUUAACUGUCGCAGUGCCUUUGAUACUGAAGAACUUGAAUACACUAGAGGUAGGCGGAAUGUGACAAGUAGCGGUGAAAUGCAUAGAUAUGUCACAGAACACCAAUUGCGAAGGCAGCUUACUACACAAUGAUUGACGCUGAGGCACGAAAGCGUGGGGAUCAAACAGG
rnacentral:rRNA from 1 species